rnacentral:ribozyme from 1 species
UCUCGUUGUAUUCUCUUUCUUUUUGCUUCUUUUUUCUUUUUUUCUCCUGAUUCGAUUGGUCGGUUUUGACAACAAAAAGGAA